rnacentral:lncRNA from 1 species
UCCUCUCCAAAUUUGGAUGAUGAAAUUGACCCCUUCUGAUUUAGUCUCCUUUAAAAUAUUAAAACUUGUUAGCUACUUAAUUAGUAUUUUUUUGGUCCCUUGUGGACAAUUACUCUGCUUUAGCAACUCUAGCUAAUGCAGGUAAUGAUUAUUAUUCUUUUGGUCCCUUGUGGACAAGCAUUCUGCUUUAGCAAGUCUAGCUAAUGCAAGGAAUGAAUCUACGCUACAUGAUGAUCUUUUGCUGGAUUGUAGCCAACAUGAAAAUGUUGCAUAGGAGUAAAUUCUAUACAUGUAAUAGGAUAAAUUAGUUGAGACUAUCAAACCCAGUGGCAUUACUGAAUUUGGACUUGAGUGUCGUAUGGCUAAUUGAUCUAACAUGUUUUUACAUAUGUGUGCAUUAAUUUCAUUAUUAAUAAAAUACCACUUUUAGUAUGCACGGACAUGCUAUUAUACUAGUAAUAGAGAAAUUAUG